GAUGAACGCUGGCGGCGUGCCUAAUACAUGCAAGUCGAGCGAACAGACGAGGAGCUUGCUCCUCUGACGUUAGCGGCGGACGUGCGAGUAACACGUGGAUAACCUACUUAUAAGACUGGGAUAACUUCGGGAAACCGGAGCUAAUACCGGAUAAUAUAUUGAACCGCAUGGUUCAAUAGUGAAAGACGGUUUUGCUGUCUCUCAUAGAUGGAUCCGCGCCGCAUUAGCUAGUUGGUAAGGUAACGGCUUACCAAGGCAACGAUGCGUAGCCGACCUGAGAGGGUGAUCGCCCACCCUGGAACUGAGACACGGUCCAGACUCCUACGGGAGGAACCAGUAGGGAAUCUUCCGAAAUGGGCGAAAGCCUGACGGAGCAACGCCGCGUGAGUGAUGAAGGUCUUCGGAUCGUAAAACUCUGUUAUUAGGGAAGAACAAAUGUGUAAGUAACUAUGCACGUCUUGACGGUACCUUAUCAGAAAGCCACGGCUAACUACGUG
rnacentral:rRNA from 1 species